AUGAGAUGUUAGUUGGUACAGGGAGGGGUUUCCAGGACCCGCACGCCCUUGCGGAGUGCCUGCUGGAGGGAGCCGGUGUGUCCAGGACACCCUUGCGGAGUGUCUGCUGGAGGGAGCCAGUGUGUCAGUGAGAUGGCUAUGCCCCUGGGCUGCUGUGUCCCAGGUUUCCUCAGUCUCUAACCCUUUGUUCUCACAGGGGAUGGACUCUUGCUUCUUUUCCCAACUCCACCAAGAGGGACCGUCCCAGGACGUCCUUCCCCGGGCAUCUGGCCCUACAGCUGCCUGAGGUCUCCAUCACCGUUGGCGCCAUCAGUCUGCUGUGCAGCCAGCUGUUGGUUUGGAGAGCCUGAAGAACUGCAGUUCACGUCUCAUCUAAAGGAGCUGAAAUGAUAUUGCAGCUUUUUCUUUUGGUUGCGUGCAGUGAGAAUCUGGGAGCUGAACCUGUUAUCUGCAUGGUCUUCAGAAAUCAGGCAAACUCGGAAAAUGCCAACGCCAAAAAUGCUGAUGGGUGACAAAGUGUCACAGGUGUGAUGCAUUACAAAUCUCAGGACUUUUGUUCACUGGAUUUGAAAGGUCAAGCUUCACAGGAAAAUGAUGAAGUCCCAAAAGACCAGAAAUAUAUUUCAGAAGAUGCCAGUUACUACUUUAAAUGUCAAACCAACAUUUCAGAAAUAACUUUCAAUGAUUAUUUCCUGCCAAGAAGGUGAACGCUGGAGACCUUAAUGGUGGAAGAUGGAGGGCGUCUUUCCUUCUGUUAAGCUGACAACUUGGCUUCCAUCUUGUGAGGACCUCACCCUACCUGGUGGCAGAGGACGUCUGACGCCCUCAAUCAUUGCCGUUACACUUCCCAGCCUGGUGGUCAGUCUCCUGGGGUCUGUGUGUUAACAAACCAUCGACUGGACAAUCGCAGUUUUCCUUAUGAAGGCUUACUUUAAAAAGGCUCUGGAUUUUCAGAAGCGAAGUCGCUUUCAUCCCCGAUUCAGACCCAUCCUAGUGGAGGAAAAAUCCUACCAGAAGAAGGGCUGACCAUAGGAACUUGCCAUUUCCUUGACCCCAUCAUAUCUGAGGAAAAAACAACAGAAAAGGUCAAAACCCACGUGUACGCCCAACGUCCUGAUUGACGACUUUGCCUGCAGCUUCUGCUUUCCUGAAAUUCGCUGCUGCCUUUAGAACCCUUGUCUGCAGCCAGUGGGGAGUUCAGGACUUAGGCGGAGCUGCCCCACCCUCCUGCUUGGCACCCUGCAAAUACAUGCCCUCCCUUCCAUCGCUGCAGACCUCAGAGUGGGCGUCCGGUCUCCUGUGCGGGAUGAGAAUACACACCCUCCCUUCCAUCGCUGCAGACCUUAGAGUGGAUGUCCGGUCUCCUGUAUGGGAUGAGAAUACACGCCUUCCCUUCCAUCGCUGCAGAGUGGACGUCUGGUCUCCUGUGUGGGAUAAUACACGCCCUCCUUUCAAUCGCUGCAGACCUCAGAGUGGACGUCCGGUCUCCUGUGUGGGAUAAUACACGCCCUCCUUUCAAUCGCUGCGGACCUCAGAGUGGAUGUCCGGUCUCCUGUAUGGGAUGAGAUACACUCCUUCCCUUCCACUGCUGCAGACCUCAGAGUGGACGUCCGGUCUCCUGUGUGGGAUGAGAUACACUCCUUCCCUUCCACUGCUGCAGACCUCAGAGUGGACGUCCGGUCUCCUUUGUGGGAUGAGAAUACACUCCUUCCCUUCCAUCACUGCAGACCUCAGAGUGGACGUCCGGUCUCCUGUGCGGGACAAGAAUACACUCCUUCCCUUCCAUCACUGCAGACCUCAGAGUGGACGUCCAGUCUCCUGUGCGGGAUGAGAUACACUCCUUCCCUUCCAUCGCUGCAGACCUCAGAGUGGACGUCCAGUCUCUCUGUGCGGGCCAAGUGUACACAGUUUUGUUCCGUCACAACUUCCACGACAGGCCAGUGUGAGGUUUUUGAGCUGGUGCUGACUGAAAACUGUCAGCUGCCCAAGGACCUGGGAGCUCUGCUCCCCACUCCUGGUGUGCGGUCUUGCGCCUGGCCUCCCUGCCUAGGUUACAUGCAGUGGUCAUCCCGGUCGCUCCCACACCCGUGUGGGCUCUGGGAUCCCCUCUUCCAGCCAGCCCAGGGGACAUCUGGCUGUCUCAGGACCCAGCCAUCUGUAAAAAUUAGGCAGGUCCCUUCAGUAUGCUCCUGGUCAACAAAGAAAAACUUCAAUUUUGAGAAUGGCAUCUGUAUUCCGAAGUGUUCUCUCAGAUGUUUGAGUUCCACUAAGUAGAUUUUCUUAGUCUGCUGUAUCAAUGACACAGAGAGACGUGCAUUAAAACCUCAACCAUGUGGAUCUAUUUCUUUUCAGUUAAUUUUGCUUCAUGUAUCUUGAAGCUCUGUUAUCAGGUGCAUGCACAUUUGGGAUUGUUAUGCUUUCCUGAUGAACUGACCUUCUUUCAUUAUGCAAGGGGAAGAAGAUGCUGCAUACAGGAUGGAAUAUCCAGGGGAAGACGUCUAAGGAGAGAUGCCCAGCUGGGAGUCCUAUGCAAGGGGAAGAAGAUGCUGCAUACAGGAUGGGAUAUCCAGGGGAAGAUUUCUAAGAAGAGAUGCCCAGCUGGGAGUCCUAUGCAAGGGGAAGAAGAUGCUGCAUACAGGAUGGGAUAUCCAGGGGAAGAUUUCUAAGGAGAGACACCCGGCUGGAAGUCAAGAUAUGUCAGUUGUUUCCAUUAUAAUAAAACCACUCAUGUUAGAUGAGCUGAACUUUCCCUUUUCCCCAGUUCUUACGAUCAAAAAGUGGCUGUCCUAAAUUUCAUCACUCAAUAUCCUUGCUAGAGUCUUCCUUUGUCAGCCAGGCUGGAGUGCAAUGUGCAAUGGCACAAUCUUGGCUCACUGCAACCUCUGUCUCCUGGGCUCAAGCAAUUCUUCUGCCUCAGCCUCCUGAGUAGCUGGGAUUACAGGGCGCUGGGUGCCCUUCCAGGGUGACCUCACGGGUGCCCACUGCAGUUCCUGCUUCUCCCCACGGGAACUGAGCGUGCCGCUGGGAACACAGCACUCACUGUGCACAGUUCUGCACAUGGACUUAUGUGGACACCACCUGCUUGCAUUCAUCCCCUCCUCCUCAUCUCUCCCUUGCUGAGAGGCAGCGUGCCUGCCGAACGCUUCGUGCUGUUUCUGCAAUGCUCACUUGCGGUCACAUAGUUAGACAUCCGGAUGAUGGAUAGAUGAGGAGACACAGUGCAGACUGGGCGUGGCUGACCACCACACGUGCCCCUGGAGCCAUGGGCCGCCGGCUUCAUUUCCAGGGUGGUGUUACAAUCAAAAGAAUGAACACAUCAAGAGUGAUUUCAAGUCCAACCCCUUCCCUGUGUUUUCUGCACAGCUUGGAGGCCGUGCCCAGGUCCUGGAUGUUCCUGGUGACCUUUCCUCUUUGCCCUUUGCUCUCCCACUUGGAGCUCCAUGCUACUCCCUCCUGUUGUACUGAACCUGGCCCUCGUUGCCCCUUACGAGGGAAGUCCUUGUCCUCUCAUGGCUUCCUUCUUGUCCCCUUCCCUCAGACUCUUCGUAAUAAUUAUACAAUACUAAUUCCAAAUGGAAACUGGAGGCAUGGAGCCUAUGCCGGCGUCUCCAGCUUCUCCAGAGGUAGGAAUGGACACUCAGGUCUCCACUGCAUGCUGGUGGAUUUGGGAGAGUGUGAUCCAUCCAAGCCAUGCGAAAAUCUGCACGACUGAGUCAUGGGACAGUGGAGCUUUGUGAUAUCGCGUGCUUUUAAAUCCGAAAGGACAGUCAUGAUUUAAGGAUUUGAAAGUCACACAUUUAACAUCUGGAUUCACAGUCAUAGGUCUUAAACCAUGAUAGCUUGUGCUUCUGAGGUGCACUGAAUUCAUGCGUGGCUUUCCUAGACUUUAUCCCAUGGAACCUUCACGUGUCAGGCUAUGUAGAGCCCUGAAUCUCAAAGGGAGAGCUUGGUCCCAGCAGGUCUCAUUAUUUUGUAUUAUAUUUUAAUAGUUUAUUUUCCCUCUUGCUUCUUCAAAAAAAAAAAAAAAAAAAAAAAAAAAAAAAAAAAAAAAAAAAAAAAAAAAAAAAAAAAAAAAAAAAAAA
rnacentral:lncRNA from 1 species